GCUCAGGAUGAACGCUAGCUACAGGCUUAACACAUGCAAGUCGAGGGGCAGCAUGACGAUAGCUUGCUAUUGUUGAUGGCGACCGGCGCACGGGUGAGUAACGCGUAUCCAACCUGCCCUUGUCCAUCGGAUAACCCGUCGAAAGGCGGCCUAACACGAUAUGCAGUUCUCAGCAGGCAUCUAACGAGAACGAAAUGUGAAGGAGAAGGAUGGGGAUGCGUCUGAUUAGCUUGUUGGCGGGGUAACGGCCCACCAAGGCGACGAUCAGUAGGGGUUCUGAGAGGAAGGUCCCCCACAUUGGAACUGAGACACGGUCCAAACUCCUACGGGAGGCAGCAGUGAGGAAUAUUGGUCAAUGGGCGAGAGCCUGAACCAGCCAAGUAGCGUGCAGGAUGACGGCCCUAUGGGUUGUAAACUGCUUUUAUAGGGGGAUAAAGUGUGCCACGUGUGGCAUAUUGCAGGUACCCUAUGAAUAAGGACCGGCUAAUUCCGUGCCAGCAGCCGCGGUAAUACGGAAGGUCCGGGCGUUAUCCGGAUUUAUUGGGUUUAAAGGGAGCGUAGGCCGUCUGGUAAGCGUGUUGUGAAAUGUCGGGGCUCAACCUGGGCAUUGCAGCGCGAACUGUCAGACUUGAGUGCGCGGGAAGUAGGCGGAAUUCGUCGUGUAGCGGUGAAAUGCUUAGAUAUCACGAAGAACUCCGAUUGCGAAGGCAGCUCACUGGGGCGCAACUGACGCUGAAGCUCGAAAGCGCGGGUAUCGAACAGGAUUAGAUACCCUGGUAGUCCGCGCGGUAAACGAUGGAUGCCCGCUGUUGGGCCAACUGGUUCAGCGGCC
rnacentral:rRNA from 1 species